CGACGUGUCCUCCUCGUGGUUUGGGUUCGCCUGAGGAAAAGUCUCGAGCUGUGAUGGCACGACUGUGCAUUUUAAUGGCAAAUCUGUUUCUCACAUAACGCCUGAACUGCAAAAAGACUUUGACAGACUGGUUCAAGGAAAACAAACUGGUUUUAAAUGUAGCAAAAACUAAAACAAUGCCUUUUGGCUCUCCUAAUCAUCUGAACUCAAAGGAAGAUUUGAUUUGGAAGUCAGAAAUCUGGAAGAGAAUGGUGGACCCGACCUGCAUGGUGGAGGAGGUUGAAAGCUGAUUUUCCUAACUGGAGUGCUCCGUCUGAUUCUCAGAGCUCUUUUGGGGAAGGCUGUAAGGAUGUGGAUGUCAGAAGAAGACAGAACAGGUAAAAACGGAGGAGAGGUGUAAUAUAGUAAAGUACCAAAGACUGAGAUCAAUAUACCAAAAACUUUACUAAUACCAUGAAUUCAGAAUAUUUCAAGGACCUCUGAUGUUGUUAUAAACUUGUAGUUCAUCUAAGCAACUGGGCUGAGUUUCUGGGGGUUUUUGUUUGUUUGUUUGUUUUAGACUUUGAAUAUAAUUUUGCAAGCAUUUCA